rnacentral:lncRNA from 12 species
CUCAACGAUUUCACGCCACGGUUCGGUUCCUCGUCGCAAGAGGAAUUUAAGCGGACUUUGCCAGGAAGUCCUGUUGGAAGCCGACCGGGUGCUGCAGUGGGGGUGGGGGCAUGGAGGGGGCUGAGCGCUGGCACCCUGGCUGCCCCCCUCCACCGCCUCGACCCCCCACCCCAGCCCUGGGCCAGAGUUCAUUAUUCACGGGCAUCCCGGCUUCCCUCCUGGCACGCACCAUGUGCCAUGCGUAGGCUCCGAGGACUGCGGCGAGGCCACCCAGACCCUGCCCUCUGGGGCUUGAGUCCAACGGUGGGGGAAACACUGAUGGGGGAACCACGGCUCCCAGGGGGCCCGGGGCCAGGGUGGUCAGAGCCAAGGGUGCACAGCUGUAGGCGGAGCAGCCUGGACGCCCAUGUCGCUCCCGGGAGGCAGGACGAUGGAUCCCAGCAGACUUUCAGAGAGACGGGUGUUGUCUUUCUCCAGGCAGAUCACAGGAAGAUUUUCAGAAAGAUCACAGAUCUUCCUCGUAAGCUCCUGGUGGCAGUUGAGGAAGACAACUCUGCGGGAAGUGUUAUGGACCAAGUACUGAGCCCAGGAUAGUGAACAAGGAAGACAGUCUUUGCCCUCAUGGGGUUUGCGUUCAAGUGGGGAGAGCAAAAGGUAAGUAAAGAAUAUGCCAGGUGACAAAUGCUAUAAGGUAAAGAGAAU